CAUCCCGAUGCUAUUCUAGAGAUAGAAAGUUACUUCGGUACAUCGGUGACAGGUGGUGCAUGGUUGUCGUCAGCUCGUGUCGUGAGAUGUUGGGUUAAGUCCCGCAACGAGCGCAACCCCUAUUGUUAGUUGCCAUCAUUCAGUUGGGCACUCUAGCGAGACUGCCGGUAAUAAACCGGAGGAAGGUGGGGAUGACGUCAAAUCAUCAUGCCCCUUAUGACCUGGGCUACACACGUGCUACAAUGGUUGGUACAACGAGUUGCGAGUCGGUGACGGCGAGCUAAUCUCUUAAAGCCAAUCUCAGUUCGGAUUGUAGGCUGCAACUCGCCUACAUGAAGUCGGAAUCGCUAGUAAUCGCGGAUCAGCACGCCGCGGUGAAUACGUUCCCGGGCCUU
rnacentral:rRNA from 1 species